CCUACGGGCGGCAGCCGUGAGGAAUAUUGGUCAAUGGGCGCGAGCCUGAACCAGCCAAGUAGCGUGAAGGAUGACUGCCCUACGGGUUGUAAACUUCUUGUAUAAAGGAAUAAAGUGAGGCACGUGUGCCUUUUUGUAUGUACUUUAUGAAUAAGGAUCGGCUAACUCCGUGCCAGCAGACGCGGUAAUACGGAGGCUCCGAGUGUUAUCCGGAUUGAUUGGGUUUAAAGGGAGCGUAGAUGGGUUGUUAAGUCAGUUGUGAAAGUUUGCGGCUCAACCGUAAAAUUGCAAUUGAUACUGGCAGUCUUGAGUACAGUUGAGGUAGGCGGAAUUCGUGGUGUAGCGGUGAAAUGCUUAGAUAUCACGAAGAACUCCGAUUGCGAAGGCAGCUUACUAAACUGCCACUGACAUUGAUGCUCGAAAGUGUGGGUAUCAAACAGGAUUAGAUACCCUUGUAGUC
rnacentral:rRNA from 1 species